GAAACUUAAAGGAUGAAGAUGGAGAAAAGAGGAAGGGGUUAGGGGAAACUUAAAGGAUGAAGAUGGAGAAAAGAGUGGAGGAGAGAGAGGACUCAAUAGUUGAGAAGAUGUGGGUUUCUCCACCAUGCUCGAGUUUUAGAUUUAUCAUUUUGGGAAGAGGCUGAGCGUGGAGUUACUGGUGUGCACAAGAUUGUCAAUCUAGAGAUGAUCAUCAGCGAGAUUGUGAAUGAGGGGACCAAGAAGACCAUGAGAUGGGGAUGAUGAUGAAGGUGGGAUCCACUUGUGUUUAAUUUUAAAAGAGAGAGAAGGCAGGACAAAGAUGAAUAAGGAAGAUGAGAGAGGUGGAAGCCAAGUAAGCAUGCCAUGUAAGCAGAAUGGGUCAAUUGACAAUCAAACAUUAAGGUCUGUUAAGGCAAGGUAGAUUUGUACCAUUCUU